UACAGAGGGGGCAAGCGUUGUUCGGAAUUAUUGGGCGUAAAGCGCGUGUAGGCGGCUUGGCAAGUCGGGUGUGAAAGCCCUCAGCUCAACUGAGGAAGUGCGCCCGAAACUGCUUUGCUUGAGUACCGGAGAGGGUGGCGGAAUUCCCCAAGUAGAGGUGAAAUUCGUAGAUAUGGGGAGGAACACCGGUGGCGAAGGCGGCCACCUGGACGGAUACUGACGCUGAGACGCGAAAGCGUGGGGAGCAAACAGG
rnacentral:rRNA from 1 species